GCGGGCGUGGUGAAGUGGUAUCACGGAAGCUUCCCAAGCUUCAAUUGGGGGUUCAAUUCCCCUCGCCCGCU
rnacentral:tRNA from 2 species